CUUAAUAUCAGUGUCUUGGACUUUUUUAUUUAAUAGUGAAUAAAUCAUUCUGAGACUUUUUAGACUAGAUAAAAAUCACAAUUUUAGCUCUUAUUUUCCUUCUUUAUUUUCCUAUGUGUAGUUUUAUGAGAAAAAGGUAUUUCUAAAAGGUAACAUAUUCUAAAACGUUUAACAAAAGAUCAGAUACAUCUCGUAGACCUGAACAAUAACUGACAGGUGCAAAAGACAAAGUGAUGUAUCAAAAAUGCAGAAUAACGUGCACAAUUUACACACUUAAAAGAUCUUGACAUUUUGCAUGACACUUACUAUACAUAAGUGCAAAUUAAAAUUAAUUAGAUUGCACGUUGUCAGAAUCAUCUUGAAUGAAUUAGAAUAGCUCUAGAACAUAAGCAGGCAUAUUUUUAAAAGACUCUCCAGAAGUAAUUCAUUAGUCUUAUCCUGCAUUUGAAGAGGGUUCAUUGUCAAAAUAGCCACUUGUAUUUGGCUCUUCUGGUUCUCCUGUGAACAGUUUUAAUCCCCACAGCGCUGUUCGGCCAGUGUCCAGUGUAUAUACUUAUCAUAUUUGUCCAGCACAGGUGCCUGUUUCAAAAAGCUGAUUUACUGGCUCUGACCGGCUCCGAGGAAUUGAGCUUUGAUGAAAAGUGUCUCUAACAGUCUACAGCUGUUUUGGAUUACACUCGCUUAAUGUUGCUUUGGCCUCUGUUUAGCCUUUUGAUAUUGGUGAUUAUAAUUGUGGAUAUCAAUUUAUCAAUAUUUAAUGCAGAGUAUCAGACAGAAAUUCUUUGUGUAUAUGUUUUAUUAAUGAACUUUAUGAGAAUUUGUAUAUAUAUUAAGACUGUAGUUUUAACACGGUAAUCUAAUUUAAUUAGUUAUGAAAACUUAAGAUCAUCUUACAUUUAAAAUUUCGUACUGCUGACGAAUUUGAUGUGGGACAACAACUCACAGUGUGAUGUAUAAGACAAAAUGCAUAAGAUUCAUAAGAUCAAAAAAUUCAUACGUUUGGGGAAAAAUGUCCCUGUAUAAGUUUUUGUCUCAUUUAUAUCAUAUGAUAUAGCUAAGAAACAUCACACAGGCAACAGUUGCAAUAUUACAUGAGUGCUGUUUGUCCCGAAUAGUACGAGUGCAAAUGUGAUACUGAUUUUUACACAACAUUGUCUAUAUAUUACCUAUAAAACCACAGAAGAAUUGUUGUGUGUCUCCAAGCAACAAAGCGGUGAUUCAUUUCUGAACGAAUUGAAUGAAUAAAUGACAUUUACC
ensembl:lncRNA